rnacentral:snoRNA from 10 species
CCCAGCUGUAGGCAGCUUCCUAGGUUGCCUUGUACCUAGGCAAGCAUUACACUGCUGGGAGAACAGUAGCCAAUAGCUGAUUGGCAUU